AGCUUGUCGGUAGCCAAUAGCCUUUCCCUCAGGUUUUAGAAAUCCUGUCUCAACUCCCCUCAUUGCCGCAGCCUGAUGUUGUUAGUACUGGCAUGCAUGACCACCGUGUGCAGCUCCGGAUUUCAGUCUAGGAUGGCCGUAAGCUCCCGGUAAUGUCACACACCCUGGCUUCAGGGAAGCAGAAAGUCUUUGCCCCAACAACCACCACAUCCCGGACAAUGGAACUCCCGACGAUGGCUACCUUGGGAGGAGGGGUCGUGGAUUCCCAGAGCCAGAGAUCCUGGAUGGCUGAUGUAUGAAGGGGGCGUGGUUGGCUCAGCAACCCAGGAUCAGAGGUUGAGUGGGAAGGGCGUGGGGGGGCGGAGUAGGUCAUUUGACAGAGGGCCCCAGUGAAGUCAGGAGGCUCAGAGCCGAAAAACGGUUAGGGAGCCGUAGGUCUGAACGAGUGGGAGGGGGAAAAUUCAUUGGAAUCGUCCUCAUCUCUUCCUUCUAACUCGAUUCCACUUUACUUCUGAUGGUGUAGAAGAAAAUGCAGUAGAUCUCUGGUUCUUGUCGGUGGGAUGUGAAAGUGGUCCAAGGUAGUAUCCACAGUAGCUACUGCAGAGGAGCCCAAUCUCGUAGAGCACCCAGAAUUUCCCCUCGGUCAUUUAGAAUUGUCGCAUCAAAAAUAGCAUGCAGUCUUGAAGUCUCCUUAGCCAGAGCGUGAUGUUCUCUUAGGACCCUGUUCUCCUCUAGUAGCUCAAUGAUCCUGGCCCUUUGAGGCACGGAGCUGUUUGCGUUUAUCACAAGUAUAUAGGUCCCAGUUGUAAAUCAGAACUUGUUCUCAACUGGCCUACCUGGUUAAAUAAAGGUGUGGAAAGCUCCUGGAGACGUACCCAGAGAGACUUCUACAAAGUAUUGACCCAGGGGUGUGAAUGUUUAGUAAAUGAGAUAUUUCUGUAUUUCAUUUUCAAUAUAUUUGAGAAAAUGUCAUUUUGUGUUAUUGUGUCAACUUCAAUCCAUUUUUGAAUUCAGGCUGUAACACAACACAAUUUGGAAUAAGUCAAGCAGAUGAAUACUUUCUAAAGGCACUAUACAGAGUAAUGGGAAAGGCGUUGCUUAAUUGUCUUUAUACGUCCAUACUUUACCCAUGAAUAUGAAAAAUAAAAGCAAAGUACCUUUGAAAAGAAGAUGGACCAGACCACCUUUUAUCAGUAUCUGUUUGGAAUCUUAUGAAAUAAUAAGAAUUAUUUCACUUUUAGCACCUAGCAAUUGUGACCACAAAUGUUUUAUUUAUUCCUCUUACCAGUAGGCUAUUAUCUGUUAAAGGCUAAUGUGUACUAUGUUGAAAAAAGCCACUAUCAUUCAUGUUCCACAAUGCUUGAAAGUAAAUUACAG
ensembl:lncRNA